GUGGUUAUAGUUUAACCAGAACGCUAGGUUGUGGAUCUAAUAAUAGAAGUCUGCAACUUCUUAUCCACC
rnacentral:tRNA from 1 species